UACGGAGGGUGCAAGCGUUAUCCGGAUUCACUGGGUUUAAAGGGUGCGUAGGUGGAUAUUUAAGUCAGUGGUGAAAUCUCCGAGCUUAACUCGGAAACUGCCAUUGAUACUAUUUAUCUUGAAUGCCCUGGAGGUAAGCGGAAUAUGUCAUGUAGCGGUGAAAUGCUUAGAUAUGACAUAGAACACCAAUUGCGAAGGCAGCUUACUACGGGGUGAUUGACACUGAGGCACGAAAGCGUGGGGAUCAAACAGGAUUAGAUACCCUGGUAGUCCACGCCCUAAACGAUGAUUACUCGACAUACGCGAUACACUGUGUGUGUCUGAGCGGAAGCAUUAAGUAAUCCACCUGGGAAGUACGACCGCAAGGUUGAA
rnacentral:rRNA from 1 species